GCUAUUUACAGCGGCUUGUUCAGACCAGGAGGUACGGGGUAAAGAGAGAUUUGCUUUAAUAACGAGCAGGUGCUUAGAAUUAAUGCAGGGAAGGAAAAGCCUGUGAAGGGACCUGAGCGAGCCCGAAUCCAGGUCAAGCCUGAGGAGACGUCCAGCCAUGUACCACACAGGCCCGGUUAUAAAAUCGUCAGAACACAGAACAGCACCUUGUGGAGAGGAAGGAGCAGGGUAGUCACAGUCCAGCUUGGCCAGUCAGUGUGAGAGACUCUGGUUCCAGAACAUGAUCUGAUCUGCAGAGUCUAAAGGUUGUUGUUCUCAUGAAUCUGGUCACAGCAGCAAGAAAAACUACUGUCCCUCCUGUGUCUUCUCAGCCACCAGGGCAGCUACAGCCACCCUGCUAAGAGUGUUUCUUCAGUGCAUCAAAGGCUGCAGGAGCAAGCUCCCUGCUCACUCAGAAUGAACAGUCUUCAUCCUCUUGCCCCUUCCCUCUCCCUGCCUCACCUCUCCCUUGAGUUCACUCAGCUCCAGCCAAAUGGCCUCCUCCUUCCACAGGGCCAAGCUCACCUUCCCUCCCAGCAUUCCUCUGCUCAGAGCACCCCCUCCCAUGGCUCCCCAGUUCCCCUCUCCAGGCCCUGACUGGGUUGUCACCUUCUCAUCAAGGUCUUCCCCAGAUACCCUAUUUAAAGGCACAGACUCCCCCGCCCCGCACACUCCCGCCCUCGGUCCCUGCAUUGCUAUCCUCCAGUGCUCUCAUUGCCUCUAACUUACUGCAUAUUUUACUCAUUUGUCUUGUUUAUCGCCUGUCUCUCCCCCAUAAAGUAAAGCUGUGGGAGAGUGGGGAGUGUGUCAGUUUUGUUCACUGCUGCAUCCUUAGCCUCGUGAAGAAUGAUUGACAAAUUAAACACUCAAAAGUA
rnacentral:lncRNA from 1 species